rnacentral:rRNA from 1 species
ACGUAGGGUGCGAGCGUUAAUCGGAAUUACUGGGCGUAAAGCGUGCGCAGGCGGUUUUUUAAGACAGACGUGAAAUCCCCGGGCUUAACCUGGGAACUGCGUUUGUGACUGGAAGGCUAGAGUAUGGCAGAGGGGGGUAGAAUUCCACGUGUAGCAGUGAAAUGCGUAGAUAUGUGGAGGAAUACCGAUGGCGAAGGCAGCCCCCUGGGUCAAUACUGACGCUCAUGCACGAAAGCGUGGGGAGCAAACAGGAUUAGAUACCCUGGUAGUCCACGCCCUAAACGAUGUCAACUAGGUGUUGGGGGAGGAGACUUCCUUAGUACCGCAGCUAACGCGUGAAGUUGACCGCCUGGGGAGUACGGCCGCAAGGUUG